AUGCAGCCAUGCCCGCUCUCAGGCUUCUCUCUGCUCCUGUAAACUUUUAAAAUUGUACUGAAAAUAUAACAUCUUAAUUUUGAAAAAUGUUCUAAAAUUCUGUGGAGAAAUGUUUAAAUUCGGAUUUGCAAAAGAUGCAAUCGAUUCGGACGAAGAAAAUGAUGACAAGGAAAAGGAAUUAGAAUGGAUUCCCGCGUCAAAGCUUCAAAUAACAUCCGAACAAAUCGGAGAAAAAUAUGAAGCAGACUGUUAUGGAGAAAUAAAAAUAUUCUCUGGUUAUAAUUUGAAAUUAGUUCGCUUUGAUAAAAUAUGGGAAAACUUUAUUAGUACGUGGAAGCAAAAUCAGAGUAUCGUCGAGGCAGAGUUACGACAUUCCGAUCUUAUUCCAGCGAAAUACGAAGGUGGUUUGAAAAUAUGGGAAUCCUCUUUUGAUUUGGGUCAAUAUAUGCUGAAAGAGAAAAUCGAACUGAAGGAUAAGCUUGUCCUGGAUUUGGGAUGCGGUGCAGGAUUAAUUGGCAUUAUUGCUCUUCUCCAAAACUCCACAGUCCAUUUUCAAGAUUACAAUGCAGAAGUUCUAAGAUCCUUGACCAUACCGAACGUGUUAUCGAACUUUGACAAUCAUAUGAGCAUAUUAUCUAGAUGCGAAUUUUAUGCUGGGGAUUGGAAGUCCUUUGCAACACUUUUCGACGAUGACGAGAGUAAAAGAUACGAUUAUAUUUUUACGAGCGAGACAAUCUAUAAUCCGGAUAAUUACAAAAAGCUAUAUGAGAUUUUUAAAAAGAGGCUGAAGAUCGACGGUGUUAUAUUCGUCGCUGGAAAAAUUUAUUAUUUUGGUGUGGGUGGUGGGAUGAGGCAAUUCGAGAGUUUUGUGCAGAAUGAAGGGCACUUCGACGUUAAAACUAUCUGGAAGACUUCAUGUGGACUGAACCGUGAAAUACUAAAACUUAUGAGGAAGAUUCAUUAAGGAUCCUUGCAUCUCCACCAGCGAAAAACAAGAUUUUUGUCUCGAUACUAUACAGAUAUCAUAUAUUGUUCUUUCCAUAUAAAUUAUUAUCUUUGAGCAAAUAUGAGAAGAAAAUUGCGAGGAGCUAAUUGUUCAUCUGUCUACUAUCCUAAGAACGUUGUAUUUCUUAUUAUUCUAUUCCAAUGACAAUACCGUGCGUUUUUC
rnacentral:misc_RNA from 1 species